rnacentral:piRNA from 1 species
GAGGAUGCUUCAUGUCAGCCUGAGGAGC